rnacentral:rRNA from 1 species
AGGAAUAUUGGUCAAUGGGCGCGAGCCUGAACCAGCCAAGUAGCGUGAAGGAUGAAGGUCCUACGGAUUGUAAACUUCUUUUAUAAGGGAAUAAAGUCACCCACGUGUGGGUGUUUGUAUGUACCUUAUGAAUAAGCAUCGGCUAACUCCGUGCCAGCAGCCGCGGUAAUACGGAGGAUGCGAGCGUUAUCCGGAUUUAUUGGGUUUAAAGGGAGCGUAGACGGGCCGUUAAGUCAGCUGUGAAAGUUUGAGGCUCAACCUUAAAAUUGCAGUUGAUACUGGCGUCCUUGAGUACGGUUGAGGCAGGCGGAAUUCGUGGUGUAGCGGUGAAAUGCUUAGAUAUCACGAAGAACCCCGAUUGCGAAGGCAGCCUGCUAAACCGCCACUGACGUUGAGGCUCGAAAGUGUGGGUAUCAAACAGGAUUAGAUACCCUGGUAGUCCACACGGUAAGCGAUGGAUACUCGCUGUUGGCGAUAGACUGUCAGCGGCUUAGCGAAAGCGUUAAGUAUCCCACCUGGGGAGUACGCCGGCAACGGUGAAACUCAAAGGAAUUGACGGGGGCCCGCACAAGCGGAGGAACAUGUGGUUUAAUUCGAUGAUACGCGAGGAACCUUACCCGGGCUUGAAUUGCAGACGAAUUGCUUGGAAACAGGCAAGCCGCAAGGCGUCUGUGAAGGUGCUGCAUGGUUGUCGUCAGCUCGUGCCGUGAGGUGUCGGCUUAAGUGCCAUAACGAGCGCAACCCUCGUGUCCAGUUACUAGCAGGUUAUGCUGAGGACUCUGGACAGACUGCCAUCGUAAGAUGUGAGGAAGGUGGGGAUGACGUCAAAUCAGCACGGCCCUUACGUCCGGGGCUACACACGUGUUACAAUGGGGGGUACAGCAGGCAGCUACCGGGCGACCGGAUGCCAAUCCCGAAAGCCUCUCUCAGUUCGGACUGGAGUCUGCAACCCGACUCCACGAAGCUGGAUUCGCUAGUAAUCGCGCAUCAGCCACGGCGCGGUGAAUACGUUCCCG